rnacentral:rRNA from 1 species
UACGUAGGGUGCAAGCGUUGUCCGGAUUUAUUGGGUUUAAAGGGUGCGUAGGCGGCCCUGUAAGUCAGUGGUGAAAUACUCCAGCUUAACUGGAGGGGUGCCAUUGAUACUGCAGGGCUUGAGUUAAGUUGAAGUUGGCGGAAUUGACGGUGUAGCGGUGAAAUGCUUAGAUAUCGAUCAAGAACACCGAUAGUGAAGACGCUAACUAAACUUUACUGACGCUGAGGCAACGAAAGUGUGGGGAUCAAACAGG